rnacentral:rRNA from 1 species
CAGUCGCCGCGGGAAUACGUAGGUGGCAAGCGUUGUCCGGAAUUAUUGGGCGUAAAGGGCUCGCAGGCGGUUUCUUAAGUCUGAUGUGAAAGCCCCCGGCUCAACCGGGGAGGGUCAUUGGAAACUGGGAAACUUGAGUGCAGAAGAGGAGAGUGGAAUUCCACGUGUAGCGGUGAAAUGCGUAGAGAUGUGGAGGAACACCAGUGGCGAAGGCGACUCUCUGGUCUGUAACUGACGCUGAGGAGCGAAAGCGUGGGGAGCGAACAGGAUUAGAUACCCCUGUAGUCCCUGUCUCUUAUAA